GCGUCAAUCCCGCUGUGACCCGCGCCGGCCGCGGGGGAGCGGGGACGACGCUGGGGACCCAGAAGCCGGGAAGUGGUGCGUGCGCGGCCCCGGCGGAAUUUGUCCUGUAUUAAACCUGGAAAGAACGAAGGACACCUCACAGUGGAUUACUGCAACCUGGAGGCUGUGGUCGCACCAAGUAAACUCUUAUUCCGAGUCCCCAGCAGUGUGGAAAUUACUUACUCCACCCCAUCAGCACCUGCUGCCCAUUAUGCUUUGGGUUCUGGAAACAGCACCCCAUGAGUUCAGCAUGGCUACUGAGACCUCCUUGAGACAUGAUGGAGCCACACCUGGGCCCUCUGGUUUGUAUCUGUGCAGGAGGGGGUGGCCUUCCCUCCCCUCAGUUCCUUGCCAGGUGCCAUUGUUCUGGAAGAGGUCACCCCUCUCCCAGACCCCUUGGCUCCCUAGGGAGCUUCUUGGGUUUAACGGAGUGAACUGCAAUGUGAGUUUGCAAUCUUUAUGGAUGACAUCACCACAUUCAUACGUGAUGGAGCUCUGUGGAGAGUUGCUGCUUUUCAUCACUUAAGUGGGACAUCCUUGAUAAAGAAUGGGACCCAAACAUAACUAAAAUAUCCCAAACUAACCAAACAUCAGGCGCUUAUAUUAUUUUAAAACUUCUUUAAGAGAUGUAUCCCCUCCUCACCAGCAAAUGGGCUCACCCACAUCCGGGGAUUGAGAGAGAGGCAUGCAGGUCACGUGAUGCUGAGGGUGAGGUCCGUCGGAAGCGGGUGCAGCCUAGAUCAGGUGCCCAUCUGACAAGGUCAAAGCUGCAGGAGGAUGGACACUGGUCCAGAGAGAUGGAAGGAUCUUGGAUUUGACUGACGAUGCUUGGCGAGAAUACAAGUUGCCUUACUGAGGAUGUUGCAGCACCACUGAGUGAGCUUCUGGAACCUGAACAGGACAACGGAUGGCACCACAGAAUCUGUUCACGAACAGGAAAUGAAGCGGACGGACUUCGCCUGACAGUACCUCCGUGAGAACAUUCCCCCCAUAGGAAACGGUCACCUGGCUCCUUUUUCAUGGAUGGAAGUUUUAAAAAUACAUAGAUACGAAGUGCUUUCUUGCAGCCUCCUAUCUCAAAUCUUUUAGUAAUAGAUUAGCACUCAAAAAUGCACACCCACUUAGUCUGUGGCAGCAAAGCGCAAUGUGGAAAUACUCACCAGAGUGAGCAACCGAUUGCGAGUUCUCAGGAAUGCAGACUAUUUGAACCUCAGGUUCUUCAGGUACUAAGUUGUGUUUAAACGUGAUUGGUUACAACAUUUGCCUUCAACUCUGAUGCUGCUUUGCUAUCAGAGGUUAACUCAUCGCAACUGCUUAUCUGUGUCCUGUGACAUGGGCCGCUGAAUAUGAGGAAAAGGCAAAGAAGAGGAAGCCAGACCUAAGGAGAAUUAUUAACUUCUCGUAGACGCCCAUGAGAAGCAUUCUGAGGGGCUGUGUGUGAAGCCUGUGGAUGUAAUGGGUGAAUACCACAUUCACUGCUUACUGGCAUUCCCAAGGUUCCUCAUGGUAGUUUCAAACUUUGGUUACAUUUACAGAUUAAAAAGUUAUCCGACAGUUACCUCUGCUCGCCCUACAGCUUCCUUUGGUGCCGCUGGAAAGGAUCUUUGGCUGGAUGGACCACUAGUUUUAUCCAGUAAUGGGAUUUCUUAUUUGCUCAAAGCUCUUUCAGAUCUAACUGAAAUACCGUGGAGUCAGGAUUUAGUUACACGUUUGUAUAAGAACCUGUAUUUCGCAGAACCCGUUCAUGGACAUUUAUCUCCCGGAAUUGUUUCCUCUGUUAAGUGGUGUCUGUCUUGUUCUCUGCCCAGAUUAUAAACUCUGUGGGAAGAGGCCCUGCCUUAUACGUCUGUUUCCCUCACUGAAAAACUGAAAACACUAAAUAAUUGGAAAAUAAAAAGAAAUUUUAAAAAACAGUAGGAAAAAUGAUCAACUAAUUAAACUACAACUUCCAAAAUUGUUUUGUAUCAGAGAAGUUCCCAUCUAGGUUCUUUUCCCUUCAUGAUAAUUGUCAUGGAAACAGAAUAUCGCAUUUCAAAAAUUGCUUCCAGUUCUUAUAAUUGCCUUAAAAGCAGUAAAAUAGUAUACUUCUAUUCUUUUGACAAUUUCUCUUUUUUUCCAGCUUUGUCACAUUAUAAUUGACAAAUAGAAUUUGCAUAUAUUUAAAGUGUACAAUGUAAUGAUAUGCAUAUACAUUGUGAAAUGAUGACUACAAUCAAGCUAAUUCACACAUCCAUCACCUCACAUGGUUAUUCUAUCUUUUUUUGUGGU